AAUAGAUACCCGGGUAGUCCACGCCGUAAACGAUGAAUGCUAGGUGUCAGGGGUUUCGAUACCCUUGGUGCCGAAGUUAACACAUUAAGCAUUCCGCCUGGGGAGUACGGUCGCAAGACUGAAACUCAAAGGAAUUGACGGGGACCCGCACAAGCAGUGGAGUAUGUGGUUUAAUUCGAAGCAACGCGAGGAACCUUACCAGGUCUUGACAUCCCUCUGACCGUUCUAGAGAUAGGGCUUCCCUUCGGGGCAGAGGAGACAGGUGGUGCAUGGUUGUCGUCAGCUCGUGUCGUGAGAUGUUGGGUUAAGUCCCGCAACGAGCGCAACCCUUGAUCUUAGUUGCAGCAUUGAGUUGGGCACUCUAGGAUGACUGCCGGUGACAAACCGGAGGAAGGUGGGGAUGACGUCAAAUCAUCAUGCCCCUUAUGACCUGGGCUACACACGUACUACAAUGGCCGGUACAACGGGCAGCGAAGGAGCGAUCCGGAGCGAAUCCCAAAAAGCCGGUCUACAGUUCGGAUUGCAGGCUGCAACUCG
rnacentral:rRNA from 1 species